rnacentral:rRNA from 1 species
UGGGGAAUAUUGCACAAUGGGCGCAAGCCUGAUGCAGCCAUGCCGCGUGUAUGAAGAAGGCCUUCGGGUUGUAAAGUACUUUCAGCGGGGAGGAAGGGAGUAAAGUUAAUACCUUUGCUCAUUGACGUUACCCGCAGAAGAAGCACCGGCUAACUCCGUGCCAGCAGCCGCGGUAAUACGGAGGGUGCAAGCGUUAAUCGGAAUUACUGGGCGUAAAGCGCACGCAGGCGGUCUGUCAAGUCGGAUGUGAAAUCCCCGGGCUCAACCUGGGAACUGCAUUCGAAACUGGCAGGCUAGAGUCUUGUAGAGGGGGGUAGAAUGCCAGGUGUAGCGGUGAAAUGCGUAGAGAUCUGGAGGAAUACCGGUGGCGAAGGCGGCCCCCUGGACAAAGACUGACGCUCAGGUGCGAAAGCGUGGGGAGCAAACAGG